GGGUUGUGAGGUUAAGCGACUAAGCGUACACGGUGGAUGCCCUGGCAGUCAGAGGCGAUGAAGGACGUGCUAAUCUGCGAAAAGCGUCGGUAAGGUGAUAUGAACCGUUAUAACCGGCGAUGUCCGAAUGGGGAAACCCAGUGUGAUUCGUCACACUAUCGUUAACUGAAUACAUAGGUUAACGAGGCGAACCGGGGGAACUGAAACAUCUAAGUACCCCGAGGAAAAGAAAUCAACCGAGAUUCCCCCAGUAGCGGCGAGCGAACGGGGAGCAGCCCAGAGUCUGAAUCAGCUUGUGUGUUAGUGGAACGGUCUGGAAAGUCCGACGGUACAGGGUGAUAGUCCCGUACACCAAAAUGCACAGGUUGUGAACUCGAAGAGUAGGGCGGGACACGUGGUAUCCUGUCUGAAUAUGGGGGGACCAUCCUCCAAGGCUAAAUACUCCUGACUGACCGAUAGUGAACCAGUACCGUGAGGGAAAGGCGAAAAGAACCCCGGCGAGGGGAGUGAAAAAGAACCUGAAACCGUGUACGUACAAGCAGUGGGAGCACGCUUAGGCGUGUGACUGCGUACCUUUUGUAUAAUGGGUCAGCGACUUAUAUUCUGUAGCAAGGUUAACCGAAUAGGGGAGCCGAAGGGAAACCGAGUCUUAACUGGGCGUUAAGUUGCAGGGUAUAGACCCGAAACCCGGUGAUCUAGCCAUGGGCAGGUUGAAGGUUGGGUAACACUAACUGGAGGACCGAACCGACUAAUGUUGAAAAAUUAGCGGAUGACUUGUGGCUGGGGGUGAAAGGCCAAUCAAACCGGGAGAUAGCUGGUUCUCCCCGAAAGCUAUUUAGGUAGCGCCUCGUGAAUUCAUCUCCGGGGGUAGAGCACUGUUUCGGCAAGGGGGUCAUCCCGACUUACCAACCCGAUGCAAACUGCGAAUACCGGAGAAUGUUAUCACGGGAGACACACGGCGGGUGCUAACGUCCGUCGUGAAGAGGGAAACAACCCAGACCGCCAGCUAAGGUCCCAAAGUCAUGGUUAAGUGGGAAACGAUGUGGGAAGGCCCAGACAGCCAGGAUGUUGGCUUAGAAGCAGCCAUCAUUUAAAGAAAGCGUAAUAGCUCACUGGUCGAGUCGGCCUGCGCGGAAGAUGUAACGGGGCUAAACCAUGCACCGAAGCUGCGGCAGCGACGCUAUGCGUUGUUGGGUAGGGGAGCGUUCUGUAAGCCUGCGAAGGUGUGCUGUGAGGCAUGCUGGAGGUAUCAGAAGUGCGAAUGCUGACAUAAGUAACGAUAAAGCGGGUGAAAAGCCCGCUCGCCGGAAGACCAAGGGUUCCUGUCCAACGUUAAUCGGGGCAGGGUGAGUCGACCCCUAAGGCGAGGCCGAAAGGCGUAGUCGAUGGGAAACAGGUUAAUAUUCCUGUACUUGGUGUUACUGCGAAGGGGGGACGGAGAAGGCUAUGUUAGCCGGGCGACGGUUGUCCCGGUUUAAGCAUGUAGGCGGAGGUUCCAGGUAAAUCCGGUACCUUUUAACGCUGAGGUGUGAUGACGAGGCACUACGGUGCUGAAGUAACAAAUGCCCUGCUUCCAGGAAAAGCCUCUAAGCAUCAGGUAACAUUAAAUCGUACCCCAAACCGACACAGGUGGUCAGGUAGAGAAUACCAAGGCGCUUGAGAGAACUCGGGUGAAGGAACUAGGCAAAAUGGUGCCGUAACUUCGGGAGAAGGCACGCUGGUGUGUAGGUGAAGUCCCUCGCGGAUGGAGCUGAGACCAGUCGAAGAUACCAGCUGGCUGCAACUGUUUAUUAAAAACACAGCACUGUGCAAACACGAAAGUGGACGUAUACGGUGUGACGCCUGCCCGGUGCCGGAAGGUUAAUUGAUGGGGUUAUCCGUAAGGAGAAGCUCUUGAUCGAAGCCCCGGUAAACGGCGGCCGUAACUAUAACGGUCCUAAGGUAGCGAAAUUCCUUGUCGGGUAAGUUCCGACCUGCACGAAUGGCGUAAUGAUGGCCAGGCUGUCUCCACCCGAGACUCAGUGAAAUUGAACUCGCUGUGAAGAUGCAGUGUACCCGCGGCAAGACGGAAAGACCCCGUGAACCUUUACUAUAGCUUGACACUGAACAUUGAGCCUUGAUGUGUAGGAUAGGUGGGAGGCUUUGAAGUGUGGACGCCAGUCUGCAUGGAGCCGACCUUGAAAUACCACCCUUUAAUGUUUGAUGUUCUAACGUUGACCCGUAAUCCGGGUUGCGGACAGUGUCUGGUGGGUAGUUUGACUGGGGCGGUCUCCUCCUAAAGAGUAACGGAGGAGCACGAAGGUUGGCUAAUCCUGGUCGGACAUCAGGAGGUUAGUGCAAUGGCAUAAGCCAGCUUGACUGCGAGCGUGACGGCGCGAGCAGGUGCGAAAGCAGGUCAUAGUGAUCCGG
rnacentral:rRNA from 1 species